UACGAAGGGGGCUAGCGUUGCUCGGGAAUCACUGGGCGUAAAGGGUGCGUAGGCGGGUCUUAAGUCAGGGGUGAAAUCCUGGAGCUCAACUCCAGAACUGCCUUUGAUACUGAGGAUCUUGAGUUCGGGGAGAGGUGAGUGGAACUGCGAGUGUAGAGGUGAAAUCGUAGAUAUUCGCAAGAACACCAGUGGCGAAGGCGGCUCACUGGCCCGAUACUGACGCUGAGGUGCGAAAGCGUGGGGAGCAA
rnacentral:rRNA from 1 species